AUUGAAUGCUGGCGGCGUGCCUAACACAUGCAAGUCGAGCGGUAACAGGUGUAGCAAUACAUGCUGACGAGCGGCGGACGGGUGAGCAAUGUUUGGGAAUCUGCCUAUUUGUGGGGGGCAACCCGGGGAAACUCGGGCUAAUACCGCAUACGCUCUACGGAGGAAAGCCGGGGACCGCAAGGCCUGGCGCAAAUAGAUGAGCCCAAAUCGGAUUAGCUAGUUGGUGAGGUAACGGCUCACCAAGGCGACGAUCCGUAGCUGGUUUGAGAGAACGACCAGCCACACCGGAACUGAGACACGGUCCGGACUCAUACGGGAGGCAGCAGUGGGGAAUAUUGGACAAUGGGCGAAAGCCUGAUCCAGCGACGCCGCGUGGGUGAAGAAGGCCUGCGGGUUGUAAAGCCCUUUCGGUGGGGAUAAAAAGCCUUGGUCUAACACACCAGGGUCUUGAUCUAACCCAAGAAAGAAGCACCGGCUAACUCUGUGCCAGCAGCCGCCGUAA
rnacentral:rRNA from 1 species